rnacentral:sRNA from 1 species
UACAAAUACUAUCUUAUAACCUAUUGUUUUAACUGCUGACAACUUCACACUGAUUGCCUAAGUGAACAAAUAAGCAAUAAGAAAACUAGUAAAAACUCUACCUUAACUUUGCUUCUCCAUUUUUCAACUUUUUGUUGGUUCUCUUUAUGUCUUAUUGUACUGUCUUUGUCUUGAAACAUUGUUGUAGUUGUAUUGAGUCAUCGAGUAUUUCUACUUGAGUAUUUUACACACCACAAUUACCAUAUUAUAAUACUCAGUUUUUCUCUGUGCUAUUACCAAUGAGUUCUGUACCUUCAGAUGACUUCUUAUUGUUCAUUAACAUUCUUUUCUUACAGAUGGAAGAGAAUGCCCCUUAGUAUUACUUGUAGGACAGGUCUGGUUUUAAUGAAAUCUCUCAGUGUUUGUCUGGGAAGGUCAUUUUUUUCUCCUUCAUGGCUAUGGAAUAUUUUCACAGGAUAGACUAUUCUAGUGUAAAAGCUUUGCUACUUCAGCACUUUAAAUAUGUCAUGCUAUUCUCUCCUGGCCUGUAAGAUUUCCACUGAAAAUCUGCUGCCAGACAUACUGGAGUUUCAUUGUAUGCUGUUUUUCUUGCUGCUUUUAGGAUCCUUUAUUCUUAAUUUUUGGGAGUUUGAUUAUUAAAUGUCUUGAGGUAGUCAUCUUUGGGUUCAAUCUGCUUUGUGUUCUGUAACCUGGUUGUACUUGGAUAUUGAUAUCUUUAUAGAUUUGGGAAGUUCUCUGAUCGUAUUCUUGAAACUUUCUACCCCUUUCUCUUUCUCUCUUUAAGGCUAACAACUCUUAGAUUUGCCCUUUUCAGGGUGUUUUCUAAAUCUUGUAGGCAUACUUCAUUCUUUUUUGUCUUCUCUACAUAUUUUCAAAUUGCCUAUGUUCAAGCUCAAUAAUUUUUUCUUUUGCCUGAUCAGUUUUGCUAUUAAAAGACUGAUGCAUUCUUCAGUAUGCCAAUUGCUUUUUUAACUUCAAUUUCUGCUUGAUUCCUUUUAAUUAUUUCAACCUCUUUGUUUGAUUUAUCUGAUAGAAUCUGAAUUCCUUCUCUAUUUUAUCUUGAAUUUGUUUCCUCAACACAACUAUGUUGAAUCAUCUGUCUGAAAAGUUACUUAUUUUGUUUCUCCAGGAUUGGCCUCUUGUGCCUUAUUCAGUUUGUUAGGUGAGGCCAUAAUUUACUGGAUGGUCUUAAUGUGUAGAUGUUCAUCUGUGUCUUGGCAUUGAAGAGUUAGGCAUUUAUUGUAGCCUUCGCAGUCUGGGCUUUGUGUCCACCCUUGUUGGGAAAGCUUUCCAGAAUUUGAAGGUACUUGGAUCUCAAACUCAAUAACGUUGUUCUUGCAGACUCAUAGAGGUACCAUGUGGUUGGUCUUGGUUAAAAUCGAUGAAUUAUCUGGAUUACCAAGCAGAGACUCUUGUUCUCUUCCCUUAGUUUCUUUCAGACGAAUGGAAUUUCUUUCUCUAUGCUGAGCUACCUGGAGCUGGGGUGGGAUGACACAAGCUUCCCUGUUGCCCCCACCACUGGGACUGUGCUAAUUUAGACCUGAAGUGAGCACAGCACUGGGUGUCACCCAAGGCCCAGUGUAAUUACUGCCUGGCUACCACCUAAGUUUACUCAAGACCUUAGGCCUCUACAAUCAGCAGGUGGUAACCAGCCAGGUUUGUGUCUCCUCAGGGCAGUGAGUUCCCUUUGGCCCCAGGUAGGUUCAGAGAUAUUGUGUGGGAGCCAGGUAUUGAAGUCAGAAGCCUUAUUUAUCUCGUGUUCUAUUCUACUGCAGCUAAGCUGGCAUGCAAAUUACAAGACAACAUCCUUACCACUCCUCCCUCCCCUUUCUGUAGGCAGAGGAGCCUCACAAUGUGUCUGCCACCACCACCAGCCCACAGGGGUUUCCACUGGGCUAUCACUGAUGUUCACUCAACACCCAAGCACUCUUCAGUCAGCUUAUGAUGACUGCUUCCACAACUGGGACUUACUCUUUGGUGCAGGGCAGGUCCAGAAAUGCUGACUCAGGGACCCUAAGAGUCUGCUUGGUGCUCUACCCCACUGUGGCCAAGGUGGUACCUCAGGUGCAAGACAGAAUGCCAUUUACUUUUUCCUCUGCUUUGCUCAAACAGAAGGUGUCUUUCACUAUACCCACCACAGUGGGAAAUGUUCUGGGUCACACCUGAAGCCAGCACAUCUCGGAGUCCAAUGUUCAUGAUGUGUUAUUGGGGUACCACUGUUGGUUAUUCAGAGACCAGCAGCUCCUAAGUCAGAAGGUGAUGAAUCCUGCCAGGUCUCUGCUGUGAUAGGGCAGCACUGGGUUCAUUGUAGUCCCCUAGUCACUGUGCUCUCCGUCUCCCAAAUGAACAGAUUUCUCCCCGCCAUGCAGAUGCUGCUGAGGGGCAAGGGCAAGGUGGCACAAGCACUCCCUUUCCUUCACUGUUGGUGUCUUAGUAGUAGUUCACGUGCCACUUUAUUGUAGUAAAGUUUGUAUAUCAAUUGAGAAAACACGGCCUCAGGUUUUUCACUCAACUGUUCUUGUAUUCUCAACUUAGCAUAAUUUUGUAUAUUAGAUUUGUAAAAUAUAUGUACCUGAAUCUAGUAAUUGGAAUUCUUAAAAUUUUUAUAUCUUUCAGAUGUGUUUUCGCAUUAUAACAAGGACCUGUUGACAGAGCACUGCACAGAAGCUUCAUUCCAAAAAGUGAUAUCGAGGAGACAUGGGAGCUGUGAUCUUGAGAAUUUACAUUUAAGAAAAAGGUGGAAAAGGGAGGAGUGUGAAGGGCACAAUGGAUGUUAUGAUGAAAAGACUUUUAAAUAUGAUCAAUUUGAUGAGUCCUCUGUUGAAAGUUUGUUUCACCAGCAAAUACUUUCUUCUUGUGCCAAAAGCUAUAACUUUGAUCAAUAUAGGAAGGUCUUUACUCAUUCACCAUUGCUUAAUCAACAAGAGGAAAUAGAUAUUUGGGGAAAACAUCACAUAUAUGAUAAAACUUCAGUGUUAUUUAGGCAGGUCUCUACUCUAAAUAGUUACCGAAAUGUUUUUAUUGGAGAGAAAAAUUAUCAUUGCAAUAAUUCUGAAAAAACCUUGAACCAAAGCUCAAGCCCUAAAAAUCAUCAGGAAAAUUAUUUUCUAGAAAAACAAUACAAAUGUAAAGAAUUUGAGAAAGUCUUUCUUCAGAGUAUGCAUGGGCAAGAGAAACAAAAACAGUCUUACAAAUGUAAUAAAUGUGUAGAAGUUUGUACCCAGUCAUUAAAACAUAUUCAACAUCAGACCAUCCAUAUCAGAGAAAACUCAUAUAGAUAUAACAAAUAUGAUAAAGACCUUAGUCAGUCAUCAAAUCUUAGAAAGCAGAUAAUCCAUAAUGAAGAGAAACCAUACAAAUGUGAAAAAUGUGGGGAUAGCUUUAACCAUAGUUUGCACCUUACUCAACAUCAGAUCAUUCCUACCGAAGAGAAACCUUAUAAAUGGAAAGAAUAUGGCAAGGUCUUUAACCUUAACUGUAGUUUAUACCUGACUAAACAGCAGCAAAUUGAUACUGGAGAAAACCUUUACAAAUGUAAAGCAUGUAGCAAAUCUUUUACUCGUUCCUCCAAUCUUAUUGUGCAUCAGAGAAUUCACACUGGAGAGAAACCAUACAAAUGUAAAGAAUGUGGCAAAGCCUUUCGCUGUAGUUCAUACCUUACUAAACAUAAGCGAAUUCAUACUGGAGAGAAACCUUAUAAAUGUAAAGAAUGUGGAAAAGCUUUUAACCGUAGUUCAUGCCUUACUCAACAUCAGACAACUCAUACAGGAGAAAAACUUUACAAAUGUAAAGUAUGUAGCAAAUCUUAUGCUCGUUCUUCAAAUCUUAUUAUGCAUCAGAGAGUUCAUACUGGAGAGAAGCCUUAUAAAUGUAAAGAAUGUGGCAAAGUCUUUAGCCGUAGUUCUUGCCUUACUCAACAUCGGAAAAUUCAUACUGGAGAAAAUCUUUACAAAUGCAAAGUAUGUGCUAAACCUUUUACUUGUUUCUCAAAUCUUAUUGUGCAUGAGAGAAUUCAUACUGGAGAGAAACCCUAUAAAUGUAAAGAAUGUGGCAAAGCCUUUCCUUAUAGUUCACACCUUAUUCGACAUCAUCGAAUUCAUACUGGAGAAAAACCAUACAAAUGUAAAGCAUGUAGCAAAUCUUUUAGUGACUCCUCAGGUCUUACUGUGCAUCGGCGAACUCAUACUGGAGAGAAACCCUAUACAUGUAAAGAAUGUGGCAAAGCCUUUAGUUAUAGUUCAGAUGUUAUUCAGCAUCGGAGAAUUCAUACUGGCCAGAGACCCUACAAAUGUGAAGAAUGUGGCAAAGCCUUCAACUAUAGGUCAUACCUCACUACACAUCAGAGAAGUCAUACUGGAGAGAGACCCUACAAAUGUGAAGAAUGUGGCAAAGCCUUCAACUCUAGGUCAUACCUCACUACACAUCGGAGAAGUCAUACUGGAGAGAGACCCUACAAAUGUGAUGAAUGUGGUAAAGCCUUCAGCUAUAGGUCAUACCUCACUACACAUCGGAGAAGUCAUAGUGGAGAGAGACCCUACAAAUGUGAAGAAUGUGGCAAAGCCUUUAACUCUAGGUCAUACCUCAUUACACAUCAGAGAAGUCAUACUAGAGAAAAACUUUAAAAAAUGUAAAACAUGGAGCAGAUUUUUUUUCUUGUUACCCAUGUCUUAUUGUGCAUCAGAUAAUUUAUAUGGGAGUGAAACCCUACAAAUGUUAAGAAUGUGGCAUAACCUUUAACUAUUUUCAAGCCUUACACAAUAGCAGAGAAUAUAAACUGAAAAAAUCCAUACAAAUAUUAAAAAUGUGGCAAAUUAUUUUAAACUGUGCUCAACCCUUACUCAAGAUAAUCCAUACUAGAGAAACACUAUAGAUGUAAAAAUGUGAAAAGUUUUAUUCAAAAUAUCAAACUUAUGAGUCACCUAGGGGUUCAUAGAAAAAGGAAGUUUGCAGAUGCAAUAAAUGUGAGGAAGUAUUUAAUAAAAAAUGAAGUCUAAA